UCUAAGUCUCCCUUUCUCUAAAAUUUUCCCGUUUUUCCAAUCUCCCUCCCUUUCACCAUACACCUUGCCUUGACUUCGUUGUGCACGCUGUCGCAACCCCUCGUCGCACGCGCUGCAACUCUUCUUUCCACGCUGCACGCCCCGCAACCCUCGUAGCACGCCGCACGCCGCUGCCAAGUUUUUUCAAGGUAACCUUCUCUAUCGAAUUGGUGCUAGAUAAAUGAUAUGGGGUUCGUGAGGCGAGGUUUUCUAGCAUAGGGGAUUACAAGAGCUUUACAAUGAUUGCUGAACAGCAUAGACCAUACUGCUAAGCUUUGAACAUUCUCUAAUUACACGAAAUCGAUUCAAAGAAAGACAAUUUGAAAAGACGGAUACCGAAAUCAAUUCAACCAAAAUCGUCAACAUAGUCGAAGUAAAAGAAGGUCUUUUUCUUUCAUUACACUCCUAUGGCCGACGAUUUAUAGCGUAUAAUUCUUCUCUAUUGUUGCUUUCAAAUUUCAAUCUGUGAUGUAGUGUACUUGGGAGUAGAAGACGUGGUACAGUGGGAGAAAUGAAACAAUCAAAGAUAUGGUUGUUAGAAGGUAAAAUAUGGCUUCUUAAUUGGCUGUUCUGUUUCAACCCAUAUUGUGUUUGUGGUAAUGUCUGACUGAAUUUAACCCAAUUAGUUUUGCAGAAAGAGUGUGAGUGUUGGAAAUGGUGGUUGCGGUUGAUAAUUUAAGUUAUUUUUAGCUUGCCCACUUAAGAAAAUAGCAUCUUCCAAACUUGUAGAUUAAGUUAUCUGUUCAUUGGGACAUGUUCAAGCUUCUACUUUUAAGUUUUUGUAAUUUUACUUCUUCUUUACUUUUAAGAUGGUUAUGUGUUGAACUUUUGUUGAGUUUCUAUGAAGAAAUAUAUAUGUUAUGUGAUUCUGUUUAUAUAAAAAUUUUAGUGAGUCAAUGUUGAGCAGUGGUACAUUUAGUCAUAAUGAAUUGUCCUACUGGAUGAAACCAAUAGUGUAUAUUACUUUGCGUCUGCACUCUUAUUAGGAAUAAGCUUGAAAAGCGGAGUUAUGAUAUUUUCCUGCCUAUAUGCUAUUGAUUAUGGGUUCUUAGUGCUAUGUUAAUCAAUUAGUAAAGUUCUUUCUGCGGUUUUCAUUUUUCUACAAUGAUAGAGAAUAUGUCUAUGAUCGAAGAAUAUGAGAAGCUACCAAGACUUACUAUUGUAUUACAAAGGUAGA
rnacentral:lncRNA from 1 species